rnacentral:rRNA from 1 species
UGCAGCAACGCCGCGUGAGGGAUGACGGCCUAUCGGGUUGUAAACCUCUUUUAGCAGGGAAGAAGCGAAAGUGACGGUACCUGCAGAAAAAGCGCCGGCUAACUACGUGCCAGCAGCCGCGGUAAUACGUAGGGCGCAAGCGUUAUCCGGAAUUAUUGGGCGUAAAGAGCUCGUAGGCGGUUUGUCGCGUCUGCUGUGAAAUCCCGAGGCUCAACUUCGGGUCUGCAGUGGGUACGGGCAGACUAGAGUGCGGUAGGGGAGAUUGGAAUUCCUGGUGUAGCGGUGGAAUGCGCAGAUAUCAGGAGGAACACCGAUGGCGAAGGCAGACCUCUGGGCCGUAACUGACGCUGAGGAGCGAAAGGGUGGGGAGCAAACAGGCUUAGAUACCCUGGUAGUCCACCCCGUAAACGUUGGGAACUAGUUGUGGGGUCCAUUCCACGGAUUCCGUGACGCAGCUAACGCAUUAAGUUCCCCGCCUGGGGAGUACGGCCGCAAGGCUAAAACUCAAAGGAAUUGACGGGGACCCGCACAAGCGGCGGAGCACGCGGAUUAAUUCGAUGCAACGCGAAGAACCUUACCAAGGCUUGACAUAUACGAGAACGCUGCAGAAAUGUAGAACUCUUUGGA